rnacentral:rRNA from 1 species
AACUUUGAGCGGUGGAUCACUCGGCUCGUGCGUCGAUGAAGAGUGCAGCCAACUGUGUGAAUUAAUGUGAACUGCAUACUGCUUUGAACAUCGACAUCUUGAACGCAUAUUGCGGCUACGGGAUAUCCUGUGGCCACGUCUGCCCGAGGGUCGGC